rnacentral:rRNA from 1 species
UACAGAGGUCCCAAGCGUUGUUCGGAUUCAUUGGGCGUAAAGGGUGCGUAGGUGGCGUCGUAAGUCAGGUGUGAAAUUUCGGAGCUUAACUCCGAAACUGCAUUUGAUACUGCGGUGCUUGAGGACUGGAGAGGAGACUGGAAUUUACGGUGUAGCGGUGAAAUGCGUAGAUAUCGUAAGGAAGACCAGUGGCGAAGGCGGGUCUCUGGACAGUUCCUGACACUGAGGCACGAAGGCCAGGGGAGCAAACGGG